rnacentral:hammerhead_ribozyme from 1 species
AUCCAGCUGACGAGUCACACAUAAGACGAAACUCGCUUUUUCCUGGAU